CUCAGUCUUUUUAUUCUUCUUCAUUUUGUCUUCUUUAGCAUUGUUAGCACCAUCUUUAUCACUUAAAGCUUCCUAGACAGCCCUCAGCAGAGAUGCAGUUGCUGCAGAUUCUUGUUGUGACUGUUACAGCGUCUUUGAUAAUACAUGUUCACACAAUCCCACAUGAGUCCAUUGAGAAGUGGAAAUCAUUGGAAAAUCCAAGAAACAGAGAUUUGUUUUUCAGGACCCUGCAAGCCUAUUUCAUUCGAAGAGGAGGAAACAUGGCCAAUGUCCUUCAGCCAUUUUAUGUUGACAAUCAACACCCCAUGGAGGGUGCUCCCCGCCUCUACGUUUCUGAGCCUAUCUCCUCAACAUUUACUGACUACGAAAGAAAGAAAAACUCAUUUGCUACUUUUCUCCAAAGCUGAGAAGUACAGCACAGCACAGCACUCACAUACAGGUAUUAUAUUAGAUUUAAUUUUCAGGAUUUCUUUAUAAAAAAGUAAUGUCAGUUGUGUUUAUUUUUAUAGUGUCCAGCCAUAUCUACAGCAUCACAUUUGAAGAUCUGCUGGCUGCAAAACCCAACCCUACUGUGAAGGAGAAAAAAUUUGAAUACAGCAGCUUUCAUGUCAGUCGGCAAUGAAAAGAGGACUGAAUGGAUGGGGAUAUUAAGUGUGGACAAUUAUCACACUGCAUUUUUUUUGUGAUCAACUUUUUAUUA